AGAGUUUGAUCCUGGCUCAGGAUGAACGCUGGCGGCGUGCCUAAUACAUGCAAGUCGAGCGAACGGACGAGAAGCUUGCUUCUCUGAUGUUAGCGGCGGACGGGUGAGUAACACGUGGAUAACCUACCUAUAAGACUGGGAUAACUUCGGGAAACCGUAGCUAAUACCGGAUAAUAUUUUGAACCGCAUGGUUCAAAAGUGAAAGACGGUCUUGCUGUCACUUAUAGAUGGAUCCGCGCUGCAUUAGCUAGUUGGUAAGGUAACGGCUUACCAAGGCAACGAUGCAUAGCCGACCUGAGAGGGUGAUCGGCCACACUGGAAUUGAGACACGGUCCAGACUCCUACGGGAGGCAGCAGUAGGGAAUCUUCCGCAAUGGGCGAAAGCCUGACGGAGCAACGCCGCGUGAGUGAUGAAGGUCUUCGGAUCGUAAAACUCUGUUAUUAGGGAAGAACAUAUGUGUAAGUAACUGUGCACAUCUUGACGGUACCUAAUCAGAAAGCCACGGCUAACUACGUGCCAGCAGCCGCGGUAAUACGUAGGUGGCAAGCGUUAUCCGGAAUUAUUGGGCGUAAAGCGCGCGUAGGCGGUUUUUUAAGUCUGAUGUGAAAGCCCACGGCUCAACCGUGGAGGGUCAUUGGAAACUGGAAAACUUGAGUGCAGAAGAGGAAAGUGGAAUUCCAUGUGUAGCGGUGAAAUGCGCAGAGAUAUGGAGGAACACCAGUGGCGAAGGCGACUUUCUGGUCUGUAACUGACGCUGAUGUGCGAAAGCGUGGGGAUCAAACAGGAUUAGAUACCCUGGUAGUCCACGCCGUAAACGAUGAGUGCUAAGUGUUAGGGGGUUUCCGCCCCUUAGUGCUGCAGCUAACGCAUUAAGCACUCCGCCUGGGGAGUACGACCGCAAGGUUGAAACUCAAAGGAAUUGACGGGGACCCGCACAAGCGGUGGAGCAUGUGGUUUAAUUCGAAGCAACGCGAAGAACCUUACCAAAUCUUGACAUCCUUUGACAACUCUAGAGAUAGAGCCUUCCCCUUCGGGGGACAAAGUGACAGGUGGUGCAUGGUUGUCGUCAGCUCGUGUCGUGAGAUGUUGGGUUAAGUCCCGCAACGAGCGCAACCCUUAAGCUUAGUUGCCAUCAUUAAGUUGGGCACUCUAAGUUGACUGCCGGUGACAAACCGGAGGAAGGUGGGGAUGACGUCAAAUCAUCAUGCCCCUUAUGAUUUGGGCUACACACGUGCUACAAUGGACAAUACAAAGGGCAGCGAAACCGCGAGGUCAAGCAAAUCCCAUAAAGUUGUUCUCAGUUCGGAUUGUAGUCUGCAACUCGACUACAUGAAGCUGGAAUCGCUAGUAAUCGUAGAUCAGCAUGCUACGGUGAAUACGUUCCCGGGUCUUGUACACACCGCCCGUCACACCACGAGAGUUUGUAACACCCGAAGCCGGUGGAGUAACCUUUUAGGAGCUAGCCGUCGAAGGUGGGACAAAUGAUUGGGGUGAAGUCGUAACAAGGUAGCCGUAUCGGAAGGUGCGGCUGGAUCACCU
rnacentral:rRNA from 3 species